GACGAACACUGGCGGCGUGCUUAACACAUGCAAGUCGAACGGUAAGGCCCUUCGGGGUACACGAGUGGCGAACGGGUGAGUAACACGUGGGUGAUCUGCCCUGCACUUCGGGAUAAGCCUGGGAAACUGGGUCUAAUACCGGAUAGGACUCCGGACUGCAUGGUCUGGGGUGGAAAGCUUUUGCGGUGUGGGAUGGGCCCGCGGCCUAUCAGCUUGUUGGUGGGGUGAUGGCCUACCAAGGCGACGACGGGUAGCCGGCCUGAGAGGGGGACCGGCCACACUGGGACUGUGAUACGGCCCAGACUCCUACGGGAGGCAGCAGUGGGGAAUAUUGCACAAUGGGCGCAAGCCUGAUGCAGCGACGCCGCGUGAGGGAUGACGGCCUUCGGGUUGUAAACCUCUUUCAGCAUCGACGAAGCGAAAGUGACGGUAGGUGCAGAAGAAGGACCGGCCAACUACGUGCCAGCCGCCGCCGUAA
rnacentral:rRNA from 1 species